GUGUCUGAAAGAACAUUAGCGAGUGCUAGUCCAUUGAGACAGGCCUAGGCAGUACAUGAGCCCUCAGGUGGGUCCUUGUGCUCGUGGUUUGGUCGUGCGUAGGAAAGUACUAUACAUCCAACCUUGCAGGAAUUGGAAAGCUACCUGAGGCAAUGCCAUUAGAACCUAUCAUGUCACAUGUGUAAAGGUUAGGCACCAAGGUACGGAUGGCGACGCCGUGACGAAAGCCAUGGAACUAGAGACAAAUAAAGGUCAAACGAAUGGAAAAAGAAGUAUCACUCCGUUGGUUAUGGACCAACAUAUGCACAAAGGGGUCCCAUGCACAAGUAUCAUGUACGACAACAUACGCACAGAGACGGUCGCAUGCGUAAAGGUGGUAUGAAUCUCAAAUUGGGUCAGGCGCAUAAGGUGCGGGUCACGAUUUGAGUCGGACACCGACAAUCGAGUCUGAAAUUUGUAACUUG